AGAAUCAACGCUGGCGGCGUGCCUAACACAUGCAAGUCGCACGAGAAAGGGACUUCGGUCCUGAGUACAGUGGCGCACGGGUGAGUAACACGUGAAUAAUCUACCUCCGAGUGGGGAAUAACUGAGAGAAAUCUUAGCUAAUACCGCAUAACACUUACGAGUCAAAGCAGCAAUGCGCUUGGAGAGGAGUUCGCGGCAGAUUAGUUAGUUGGCGGGGUAAUGGCCCACCAAGACGAUGAUCUGUAUCCGGCCUGAGAGGGCGCGACGGACGACGACUGGAACGUGAAACACGGUCCAGACUCCUACGGGAGGCAGCAGUGGGGAAUUUUUGCGCAAUGGGGGAAACCCUGACGCAGCAACGCGCGUGGAGGAUGAAAUCCCUUGGGAUGUAAACUCCUUUCGAUCGGGAAGAUAAUGACGGUACCGAUAUAAGAAGCCCGGCUAACUUCGUGCCAGCAGCCGC
rnacentral:rRNA from 1 species